AUAUGCUUCUUUAAUGUCAUUACAUUUAAAAAGGAGUCUCUGAGUUUCUGCAGCAAUGGAAUGGAAUGGAAAGAUUUGGGUUUGAACCUUGAUUCUACAACUCAUUGUAGAUGACCUUGGACAGGCCAACCUGUCUAUUAAACCCCUCAUCCUGCCUCUUUCAUUGGAGAUGUGAGGAUUAGAAGAGACAGAGUGUAUUGAAGGACAUUGGCCAAGGCCAAGCCCAGGACUGAUUCUCUUCUGCUCCCCUGCUGGUGUUUCCCUGAUCUGCUGUGAAUGUU